rnacentral:rRNA from 1 species
UACGGAGGGUGCAAACGUUGCUCGGAAUCAUUGGGCGUAAAGCGCACGUAGGCGGUACAGCAAGUCGGAUGUGAAAGCCCUCGGCUCAACCGAGGAAGUGCAUUCGAAACUGCUGAACUUGAAUAUGGAAGAGGGUCGCGGAAUUCCCGGUGUAGAGGUGAAAUUCGUAGAUAUCGGGAGGAACACCGGUGGCGAAGGCGGCGAUCUGGGUCGAUACUGACGCUGAGGUGCGAAAGCGUGGGGAGCAAACAGG